rnacentral:tRNA from 1 species
GGAGAGGUUCCCGAGCGGUCAAAGGGGGCAGACUGUAAGUCUGUUGGCUUAGCCUUCGAAGGUCCGAAUCCUUCUCUCUCCA